rnacentral:tRNA from 1 species
GGAAUGUAAAGCCAAUAAGAAAGCUGCUAACUUUCAAAACAGCGGUUAAAAUCCGUUAACAUUCCU